UGCACUUUUCUUAUCUACACACGUGUUUUUGUUUUAUUCUUAAAACUUGCUUUGGCAGUGGCUGCUUAAUUGCUCUGCUGCCAGAGGAUAAACUCAACCUAAAUUUUUUAUUUUAAACUAGUCAACUGAUUAUAUUUAUUAAUAGUCAAAACUUUCAACAACGGAUCUCUUGGUUCUCGCAUCGAUGAAGAACGCAGCGAAAUGCGAUAAGUAAUAUGAAUUGCAGAUAUUCGUGAAUCAUCGAAUCUUUGAACGCACAUUGCGCCCUCUGGUAUUCCGGAGGGCAUGCCUGUUUGAGCGUCAUUUCUCCCUCAAACCCCCGGGUUUGGUGAUGAGCAAUACGCCAGGUUUGCUUGAAAGUUAGGAGGAGUAUUUAUAACAAUGUAUUAGGUCUAACCACUCCAUUGUGCUUAAUAAAAAGCUCCAAUCUAUAUUUCAAACUUCGACCUCAAAUCAGGUAGGAUUACCCGCUGAACUUAAGCAUAUCA
rnacentral:rRNA from 1 species